rnacentral:rRNA from 1 species
GACGAACGCUGGCGGCGUGCUUAACACAUGCAAGUCGAACGGAAAGGCCCUGCUUGCAGGGUCCUCGAGUGGCGAACGGGUGAGUAACACGUGGGUGAUCUGCCCUGCACUUCGGGAUAAGCCUGGGAAACUGGGUCUAAUACCGGAUAGGAGCCAUUUUUAGUGUGAUGGUUGGAAAGUUUUUUCGGUGUAGGAUGAGCUCGCGGCCUAUCAGCUUGUUGGUGGGGUAAUGGCCUACCAAGGCGGCGACGGGUAGCCGGCCUGAGAGGGUGGACGGCCACAUUGGUACUGAGAUACGGCCCAGACUCCUACGGGAGGCAGCAGUGGGGAAGAUUGCACAAUGGGCGCAAGCCUGAUGCAGCGACGCCGCGUGGGGGAUGACGGCCUUCGGGUUGUAAACUCCUUUCGCUAGGGACGAAGCUUUUUGUGACGGUACCUAGAUAAGAAGCACCGGCUAACUACGUG